rnacentral:rRNA from 1 species
CACGUAGGCACCAAGCGUUGUCCGGAUUUAUUGGGCGUAAAGAGCUCGUAGGCGGUUCAGUAAGUCGGGUGUGAAAACUCUGGGCUCAACCCAGAGACGCCACCCGAUACUGCUGUGACUUGAGUACGGUAGGGGAGUGGGGAAUUCCUGGUGUAGCGGUGAAAUGCGCAGAUAUCAGGAGGAACACCGGUGGCGAAGGCGGGUCUCUGGGCCGAUACUGACGCUGAGGAGCGAAAGCGUGGGGAGCGAACAGG